UACGUAGGGGGCAAGCGUUGUCCGGAUUUAUUGGGUGUAAAGCGCGUGUAGGCGGCCAGAUAGGUCUGCUGUGAAAACUCGAGGCUCAACCUCGAGCUGUCGGCGGAAACCAUCUGGCUAGAGUCCGGAAGAGGAGAGUGGAAUUCCUGGUGUAGCGGUGAAAUGCGCAGAUAUCAGGAAGAACACCUAUGGCGAAGGCAGCUCUCUGGGACGGUACUGACGCUGAGACGCGAAAGCGUGGGGAGCGAACAGG
rnacentral:rRNA from 1 species